ACUACAUCAAUGAUGCCCCUUUUGAAGAAUCAUGUAAAAUACAAGAUGCAUUCAUGUCAGUUAUUGAAAGAAUGGUGCCCGACUUAACUGUGCAAGACAAGAUCAUACGUGAGUCUCAAUUGUACAGAAAAUGUGAAGGUAGCUUUUCAAGGAGUUUGGCUUUUAAACAACGGAUAGUCGGUGAAGGAGCAUUGGAUCCUAUCUCUUGGUGGCAAACACAUGGAUCUUCGGCCCCUACGCUUCAACAAUAUGCAAUACGCAUAUUAGGCCUUUGUUGCUCCGCUUCCGGUUGUGAGCGCAAUUGGAGCACAUUUGAUUUUGUACGUAUGAUCUUGUAUAUUAGUUUGUAAUUAUAUUUUUUACAUUUAUUUCUUGACUUAAAUAAAGAGUAUUUAUGGAUUCAGAUUCACACCAAGAAGAG